UAUUAGAUACACAACUGACGGAAACAGGUGUUACCUGAGUAGGAUUACCUACAGGGAGUGUAUUAAUAAGGAUUAGUCGACCGUCUGGGCAGCAUUA
rnacentral:ncRNA from 1 species